GAUGAACGCUGGCGGCGUGCCUAAUACAUGCAAGUCGAGCGAACAGACGAGGAGCUUGCUCCUCUGACGUUAGCGGCGGACGGGUGAGUAACACGUGGAUAACCUACCUAUAAGACUGGGAUAACUUCGGGAAACCGGAGCUAAUACCGGAUAAUAUAUUGAACUGCAUGGUUCAAUAGUGAAAGACGGUUUUGCUGUCACUUAUAGAUGGAUCCGCGCCGCAUUAGCUAGUUGGUAAGGUAACGGCUUACCAAGGCGACGAUGCGUAGCCGACCUGAGAGGGUGAUCGGCCACACUGGAACUGACACACGGUCCAGACUCCUACGGGAGGCAGCAGUAGGGAAUCUUCCGCAAUGGGCGAAAGCCUGACGGAGCAACGCCGCGUGAGUGAUGAAGGUCUUCGGAUCGUAAAACUCUGUUAUUAGGGAAGAACAAAUGUGUAAGUAACUAUGCACGUCUUGACGGUACCUAAUCAGAAAGCCACGGCUAACUACGUG
rnacentral:rRNA from 1 species